UACAGGGGGGGCAAGCGUUGUUCGGAAUUACUGGGCGUAAAGGGCUCGUAGGCGGCCAACUAAGUCCGACGUGAAAUCCCCAAGCUUAACUUGGGAACUGCGUCGGAUACUGGAUGGCUUGAAUUCGGGAGAGGGAUGCAGAAUUCCAGGUGUAGCGGUGAAAUGCGUAGAUAUCAGGAGGAACACCGGUGGCGAAGGCGGGUCUCUGGGCCGAUACUGACGCUGAGGAGCGAAAGCGUGGGGAGCGAACAGG
rnacentral:rRNA from 1 species